GUAAUGACUAGUGUCUGUUAGCUGAGUUUGGGACAUGCAAAGCUUUUGCCAGUAUAUUUUAAGGCUUUUUUCCAAGAGAUUCUGUUUCCAGUACUGUGUUGAACUGGGAUCUCUGAGCUGCUGUUCCUUUCAAUAUGGAACAGCAUUGCAACACAGAAGGCUACUGACACGUUACUCUCAACUCAUAGUAAAAAUGUUUCAUCCUGUGUCCAGGAAAGCAAUGAAGGUAGAAGUGCUUCACACUGAACAGAUCCAUUCUAUUCCAUGACAAAUUGUGGUUUUCCAGUAUUCACGUGUAGCCUGAAGAUAUUCAUCCCUGCUGAUGAGCCAUAAUUGACUCAACUUUGCUGAUGCAAGAGGCAGCUGUAACAUCUUUGAAGAUGUCAUAAACCAGCCAAGGUUCCAGAAGUGUCCCAUGACCCAAAGUAUUAACAUAAUCUCUGCCCCAGUCUGGGAGGUACCUGACUGUGAACAAACAUAAACCUGGUGGACUCUGUGUUUCUUGGGCUUCUCCCACCUCAGAUGGAUUGGGACUGAUAGCAUCAGGAUCCACAUGGCUGGCAAAGCCCUCAUCGUGUCUCACACUGGGAUUUUCUAGGAAAGACCAGAGGUUUUAGGUUGCACUGUGUCAAGGGAGGCCCCUCCCAGAGUGUAUAAUGUCCUUGCAGGUGCCCCAAUGAGCCAAUGAGCAGUAGUUCUGCUGGAAAGCAGACCACAAUAACUGGUUCCUGUGGGUCCAAGCAAUGGCCUCUUCAGACCACAUCUGUGGAGGAAGUUGAUGCUCUGUUAAAAGUCUUCAAUCUGAGAAUGGCCAAGUCAUAAUAAAGACUCUCAAACUGC